GCAUGCCAUCAUAUCAACGUUAAUGCACCGUAUCCCAUCAGAACUCCAUUGUUAAGCACGCUUGGGCUAGAGUAGUACUGGGAUGGGUGACCUCCCAGGAAGUCCUAGUGAUGCACCCU
rfam:Picea glauca, whole genome shotgun sequence.